GCGCAUACCGUGUUGUGACGUCAGGGUACAGUAGAAACCGAAACUAGCUUUCGAAAACACCUCGUAAUUAAUUUUUCAGCGUAUACACAAGUUAACCAGUA
rnacentral:lncRNA from 1 species